rnacentral:rRNA from 1 species
ACUACGGGAGGCAGCAGUAGGGAAUCUUCCGCAAUGGGCGAAAGCCUGACGGAGCAACGCCGCGUGAGUGAUGAAGGUCUUCGGAUCGUAAAACUCUGUUAUUAGGGAAGAACAGUUGUGUACGUAACCAUGCACGUCUUGACGGUACCUAUAAAGAAAGCCACGGCUAACUCCGUGCCAGCAGCCGCGGUAAUACGUAGGUGGCAAGCGUUAUCCGGAAUUAUUGGGCUUAAAGCGCGCGUAGACGGUUUUUUAAGUCAGUUGUGAAAGCUCACGGCUCAACCGUGGAAGGGCAUUGGAGACUGGAAAACUUGAGUGCAGAAGAGGAAAGUGGAAUUCCAGGUGUAGCGGUGAAAUGCGCAGAGAUAUGGAGGAACACCAGUGGCGAAGGCGACUUUCUGGUCUGUAACUGACGCUGAUGUGCGAAAGCGUGGGGAUCAAACAGGAUUAGAUACCCGAGUAGUC